UCCUUGCAAACACAAAUAAAUUUGUGUCUAUAGCUAUGUAAAAGACUCCAGUAAACUGGGAUUCAUAUAUUGGUUUUUUUCAGCUGUUUUUUUUUCACGCGCGUAGGAAUUUAUUUUUGGGAGCACUCUGCUGGUGUUCUCUGCUGUGAGGGCCGUGCUUUCUGUCUAGGCUGAGGCAUGGCUCAGCAGAUCAGAAAUAGAUUUACACCUAGAUUGGAGAAUGUACAGUGAACUGCUGAUGGGUGUUUAUCUGGACUCACUUGGUGUUUUCCGUGCUACCAUUUUGAUUAGAGACUUGUCUACACACACUUGUCUGCAGCAGCCCACUAUCAAGUAAAUCUUAGAAAAUGGUUAUCACAAGAGGCAGCUGCUGAAGUGUGGGUCCUGCCUGGGUCACUUUUCCAAAGGGGAAGAUAACGCUUCUUGCCCAACCUGGUGGAUGUUACAAAAUAACUCCCAUUUAUAAACCCUUUUUCUCUCUUAAUGAAUUACUGACUGCUUUUUUGAUUUGAAUUUUGUGCUUAUAUGAAGACUUAGAGAUCUUAUAUAGCAAUGCAGGUGUGUUGCUGUUCCCACCUAUUCUACCACUAUCUAGAACCAGUCAAAACUUCCCUCAAACUUUGGCACUGGAAAGCACUCAUCAUUCUCAUCAUCUUUUAGUAUAAUUUUGAACUGAGAGAGAUAAAUUGUAACAAAGUUAAAUAGUCCCUUUAGAAAUGUAUUUAGAUGUCUUAAAACUACCUUAGCUUUGGCAGUUAUGUGAUAAAAUGUGGGAUGAGAUUCUGGUGAAAAAACCUCCAGAAAGUAUAUUUUAUUAUACCAAACUAAUGGUUUGGCACAUUUAUAUAUAUAUAUGUGUGUGUGAUUGUAAAACACUUUGUUAUUUUAUUUGACUUGUCAGAUCUCUGUCGCCACCUCUCAGGCCAAGAGGAUGGUGAUCAGCAGCAGAGGAGGUGAAAGACCUGAGGCCAGAUUUGUCCCUGGCUCUCUAACAUUGUAUCCUGUAUUUCUUUAAGAAGGUCUGUGUAGAGUCAGGCUUUCCAAAUACAUAUUACUUUUUUAAGAUCUAAAAAUAUACAAAAUGCAACCCAUUUACUUCAAAACCUAUAAAAUCUAUUCAUACUCUAGAAGAAGAACAAUACUGGCACAGAAUUUUUUAAAAAUGUACAGGUCUUAUUUCACCUCAAGGUUAGUGCAGUUUGUGAAAGGAAAUACAUUGUGGUUGACAUUACCUUUGUUUUUAACUGUUGUUUAUAGCAGACACUCGAGCAAGCUUGAAACUGUGCUAGGAUCUGACUUAGGCAGGCAGAGCAGGCAGAAAGUAUCCAGCACUCCAGCAUCUCCUGCAUCUUCCAGGGGCAUGUGGGGACAACUCCCAUAGAGAAGGGGUACUCUGAGAGAGUACAGGGCGCUCUGGGAGUACUCUGGGAGCUGGGAUGUCCAGUGAGUUUGUGAAAUAUCUGAAGAAUUUGUAGACCCAGGCCUGACUUGUGAUGCAAUGUAAGCUGUGGUAAAACUCACUGCUAUGUGGAUCCUGCUCUCACCUUAGGGGUUUUUACCUUGGAAGGACAGGGGCCUCUGCUUGUGGCCAUAAGAUUGAAUAGAAAACAAGGUAAGGCAGGCUCAGGACAUGUCUUAACAUGUGUCAGACAGGCCUGUACUCAUUAUUUGCAUAAGCAUAUUUGGCAUUUUCAAGAUGUUUUCCUCUUUUCACCUAUGCAGAACAGAGAUGUGAAUUAUAAAUCGUGCACAUUUGUGAGUGAUGGUAGCAAAAACUUUCACAAACAUUUCUUGGCUUUAUUUGCUUUAAAUUUAAAUAAAUUAAAAAGAAGUCUUCCAGUGCAAUUAAUCUCUAAAUUUUAUUAGCCUUAUUCCUAGAAUGACUGUCCUCCUGCAAUAGCAAUAAGCUUUUGUUUCUAAUUGCUUGUUGUCACAUCUCCACCUCUCUACUUUUCAUACCUCUGGUAAGGUUAAAAAGCCAAAGCAGAAAAUAAAAAAGCAUUUUAAUGUUUGUGAUUCCAUGAGGCAGAUGAAAGUAGGGAUUGCUCUGAAUAUGAAUGAUGGUUGCAAAUUGUGAUUUUUAGGUGGUGGUCUGAUUUGUGGCUGGACCUGUUGGAACUUGCACACGGCAGCUUGGGCUGCUUGCACUCUGAAAUCAAUCUCAUGCCUGUGUUGUUACAACUGACAUCUGUUUCAAUAACCUGCAGCCAAUGUUCCCCAUGAGUUCCUGUAAUUGCUGCUGGCAACUGACACAGCCAGAUUAUGUCUAGGAGUAGGUGCUCCUGCUGAUUUCAAUUUAGGCGAGGCAUGAAUCCACAAACAAGAAGCCACAAACGGUUGGAAGGAGUCAGCUCAUAACUGAUUCACUGAUGUGUGGUAGGGGUGUACUGAGAACAAGUCAUGUGGAUGGUUUUUUGCAUACAGAUGGCCACUUGCUUAAAGAACACCUUCUCUUUUCAUUCUGGAGGUAUGUUAAAUGCUCUUUGACUAAGAAUAAGGGACAGUUGCCUCCAUCCUUUUAGUUACUUCUAAUUCAAAAACUACGCUAAAUUCCUCUUCCCAUCAUAGAACCUACUGGGCUAGAUGGAUCUUUGCUUUGAUCCAUUCCAGCUGUUCUUCUAUUCUUAUGAAACCUUUAACUAUAAAAUUAAAAUAUAAUUAUAAAUUUUAUAUUUUAUUAUAUAGAACUAAUAUGAUUAUAUAAAGUUAAAAUUUAAUUAGGAAAUUAAAAUUUGGUUGUCUUAGAGUUUAUCUGCAGAUGAGGAACAUUCCUGACACAGAAGCCAGCAGAGAAGAACAUACUGUUGGUGAACGCCAUGGAAAAGCAGUGGAAGCUGGAAAUAAAAAGAAAAUCUGAGAGAACCUAAGAGAAAAGUGAAGAUGGGCUUGUGGGAGAGAACCACUAGAGAGAUACAGAGAAGAUGACAGAACGAGGCGGUGUCCUGAGCUGGAGUACCAUGACUACAAGAACAAAUAACUCCAAGUCUACUCUGAAACUGUGGGGGAUCUGCUACCCAACUGGAUCCCUACAAAUCUAUGAGGCCUGAUGGGAUCACAAAACCUCUUUUGGUAAGUUUUGAGUAGUUUUGGGAAUCCAGAGAGGUUCUAGCUGACUGGAAGCUGAUGACUGUUGUCCUGAUUUUGAAGGAGGGUGAGAAGGAGGACCCUGAAAACACAGGAAAAGGGCAGGGCAACCACGUUCCUGAUCGGCAGAACAUUUAGAUCUCUAGUCUAGUCUCUUGCUUACCUACUGACACAUGAAAAAUUUCAUAGAGGAACAGCAAAAGCAAGAGGAAGUGACAAUCCUCUUUCGUUAAA